rnacentral:rRNA from 1 species
AUACGAAGGGGGCGUAGCGUUGUUCGGAAUUACUGGGCGUAAAGCGCAUGUAGGCGGACAUUUAAGUUCAGGGGUGGAAAUCCCGGGGCCGUCAACCUCGGAACUGCCUUUGAUACUGGGUGUCUAGAGUGUGGAAGAGGUAAGUGGAAUUCCGAGUGUAGAGGUGAAAUUCGUAGAUAUUCGGAGGAACACCAGUGGCGAAGGCGGCUUACUGGUCCAUUACUGACGCUGAGGUGCGAAAGCGUGGGGAGC